GUCCCGGGAAACUGGGUUUAAUACCGUAUACGCCCUUCGGGGGAAAGAAUUUCGGUGAAGGAUUGGCCCGCGUUAGAUUAGGUAGUUGGUGGGGUAAUGGCCUACCAAGCCUACGAUCUAUAGCUGGUUUUAGAGGAUGAUCAGCCACACUGGGACUGAGACACGGCCCAGACUCCUACGGGAGGCAGCAGUGGGGAAUCUUAGACAAUGGGCGAAAGCCUGAUCUAGCCAUGCCGCGUGAGUGACGAAGGCCCUAGGGUCGUAAAGCUCUUUCGCCAGGGAUGAUAAUGACAGUACCUGGUAAAGAAACCCCGGCUAACUCCGUGCCAGCAGCCGCGGUAAUACGGAGGGGGUUAGCGUUGUUCGGAAUUACUGGGCGUAAAGCGCGCCUAGGCGGAUUGGAAAGUUGGGGGUGAAAUCCCAGGGCUCAACCCUGGAACUGCCUCCAAAACUACUAGUCUAGAGUUCGAGAGAGGUGAGUGGAACUCCGAGUGUAGAGGUGAAAUUCGUAGAUAUUCGAAAGAACACCAGUGGCGAAGGCGGCUCACUGGCUCGAUACUGACGCUGAGGUGCGAA
rnacentral:rRNA from 1 species